rnacentral:rRNA from 1 species
UACGGAGGGUGCGAACGUUGCUCGGAAUCAUUGGGCGUAAAGCGCACGUAGGUGGCUUGUUAAGUCGGGUGUGAAAUCCCUGGGCUCAACCCAGGAAGUGCACUCGAAACUGGCGAGCUUGAGUACUGAAGAGGGUCGCGGAAUUCCCGGUGUAGAGGUGAAAUUCGUAGAUAUCGGGAGGAACACCAGUGGCGAAGGCGGCGACCUGGGCAGAUACUGACACUGAGGUGCGAAAGCGUGGGGAGCAAACAGG